AACCUGCUUGGGUGGCCAUGGAUAGGAAGGAUCGCUUGGCCGCGAAGUAUUUAAUGGAUUUUAUCAAGGUAACUUUUUCCUAUGGGAUGCCUGAACUGGAAGAAGUGCAGAUGGAAGAGGAGGAAGAUGCUGAAGAAGAGGGAAUUAAAGGAUCCUGAUGAUCCAACAUGGGACUAAAACAUGUCUUUAGAACCUUAAGAUUAUGAGCAACUGCCAGUAUGAUGUCCUGAAGAAGAGUUUUUUUACAUGGAAGAGGAACUCCAUGGCUCUCCACCAAAA
rnacentral:lncRNA from 1 species